UUCUUCAUUAACAAUUGCAAAAUAAGCCAUAAAUCUCAAAAGUUCCAUCUCCAUCAAUAUUCAAAGACUGCAUUUUUUCUUCAAUUUGUUGAAUCUUACGUUAAAUUUAUAGGAAAUUGAACUCUAUUAUACUAGUCUUCUUCUUCUUCCCAUGUCGCAAUGAGAAGAGAUUUCUCUAAAGGGAUUGGAUUUUUGUUGUUGUGGUUAUAACGCAAAGCUGAAAAUUUCACGGUCCCCCAAAAAUCUAUGUCGUCGAUUUUAUGGGUGUAAAUUGGACAAAAUGGUAUGACGAAGACUUUCUCGAUCAAGCUAAGAAGACCAUUAAUGGUUUGCUAAAAAGGGUCAAAGAAAAUGAAGCGAAAUUGGCUCGGGCAAGGAAGAAGUAGAUUUUUGUGUUUAUAGUCGUGUCAUUGCGUGGAAUUAUUUGGUCGUGCUUGCAUUUUGUUGAUUGAAGCUAAGAAGACCAUUGUUGAAGGUUGCUGGCAAUAUUAUUGUUAGUUUUUGGGUGGGAUUGAAGGUUGAUGGCGAUCUUGUGUUUGUUAAUGAAAAAAAUCAAAUAUUGUACCUAUCUAUAUAUUGUCUUUUGCAUAUGUACAUUUAUGAAGAAAUGAAUUAGUCUUUGUUGAA